UUGACAAUGUGGAGCUUGUGAUGAUUUGUCCGCAGAUUUCAGAAGUGGCUUAUUUACACUGUUCUUUUAUAGAAAUUAUUGAUUCACUAUGUUGAAUUCCAAAGGAGCAAACGGCGUGAAGUGCAAAAGAACUGCUGGUUCAUUUGAAGUGGAAUGGCUUAAUGAAACAGUAGAAACUGCUAUACCAAAAGCUCAUUCAGCCAGGAAUGUGCAGCAACAAGAAAUACUUCUGUACCAUACAGAAACUGGUGUUACCUGCGUGUAUCGUCACAAUACAAAUGUUGCUGGAGAAUUUACAAGUGGAAAGAAGUGGAAUGAUUUUUGGAAACUUGACUUUUUAAAAUGUCAUUUAGCAAGUAAAUCACAUAUGGACAAUGUGCAAAAGCUCUGGCAAGAAAUUCCUCCAUUACCUGCUACAGGAGAUGGAGAGAAGACGCUGGACAAAACUGGUCAUAGGAUUCAACCUGGUGGGGGACUGUGAUUUGAUGGAGCAAGAUGCCAGGGUCUUCUGAGGAUUGGCGAAUAAUCACUACAAACAAUAGCCCGUUACUUCUGUUUUGGAAAUGAACUUUUGUACUGUCUGUACAAUGGCAUUCUUUGUGAUGUGAGCUUAAAUAUUGAAGAUGCAAGAUGGUUGUUGUGAUGAACUACAUAUACCUGUCUGGACACGCCCCCCUGCUGACUGCACCUGCGGCUCCUCCCACUGACUGGUGGCUCCUCCCACAGACCCCGGUAUAAAGGCGAUUGAGGCCUGAGGCCUGAGCCCUGCCCUCAGUCUCCAGGAUGUAGUAUGGUGGUCAAUUACUGCUUGUUCUUUCUUCCAGUCAAUAAAAGCCGAUAUCUCGC